rnacentral:rRNA from 1 species
UACGUAGGUGGCAAGCGUUAUCCGGAUUUAUUGGGCGUAAAGGGAACGCAGGCGGUCUUUUAAGUCUGAUGUGAAAGCCUUCGGCUUAACCGGAGUAGUGCAUUGGAAACUGGGAGACUUGAGUGCAGAAGAGGAGAGUGGAACUCCAUGUGUAGCGGUGAAAUGCGUAGAUAUAUGGAAGAACACCAGUGGCGAAAGCGGCUCUCUGGUCUGUAACUGACGCUGAGGGUCGAAAGCGUGGGUAGCGAACAGG